UACGGGGGGGGCAAGCGUUGUUCGGAAUUACUGGGCGUAAAGGGCUCGUAGGCGGCCAACUAAGUCAGACGUGAAAUCCCUCGGCCUAACCGGGGAACUGCGUCUGAUACUGGUUGGCUUGAGUUUGGGAGAGGGACGCGGAAUUCCAGGUGUAGCGGUGAAAUGCGUAGAGAUGUGGCGGAACACCGAUGGCGAAGGCAGCCCCCUGGGUUAAGAUUGACGCUCAGGCACGAAAGCGUGGGGAGCAAACAGG
rnacentral:rRNA from 1 species